AUGCAUGUUGGUACGAUUAUGGAAUCAAAUGAUGCAACUUUCUUUGAGGACAUAUUUCCUAUGAAGGAUAUGUCGAGUUCAUCAAAUCAGGAGAUACCUACUCCAUCUAGUGAGGAAUUCACUGUAAUUCCUGAACCCACCAUUGCGAUGGAACACGUUGAGAAUCCUGUUGAGGGUAACAAUGGAACUCCUAUGAGGAGUAAGAGACAGAGGACUGCAAAGUCUUUUGGUGAUGAUUUCAUUGUGUACCUCGUGGAUGACACACCCAGGACUAUUUCAGAAGUCUAUGCAUCUCCUGAUGCUGACUACUGGAAGGAAGCUGUACGUAGCGAGAUGGACUCCAUCUUAGCUAACGGUAUCUGGGAGAUCACUGGCCGUCCUUAUGGGUGCAAACCUGUAGGAUGUAAGUGGGUGUUCAAGAAGAAGCUUAGACCUGAUGGAACGAUUGAAAAGUACAAGGCACGGCUUGUGGCCAAGGGUUAUACCCAGAAAGAAGGUGAAGACUUCUUUGAUACUUACUCACCCGUGGCUAGACUAACCACAAUUCGGGUGCUACUAUCACUGGCUGCCUCACAUGGUCUUCUCGUUCAUCAAGUGGACGUUAAGACAGCUUUCCUCAAUGGAGAGUUGAAGGAGGAAAUUUACAUGGAUCAGCCAGAUGGUUUUGUAGUACCUGGUCAAGAAGUAAAGGUGUGCAAGUUAUUAAAGUCUUUAUAUGGCCUUAAACAAGCUCCUAAGGAGUGGCAUGAGAAGUUCGAAAGAACAUUAACUACUGCCGACUUUGUAGUAAACGAUGGUGACAAGUGCAUGUACUAUCGCUAUGGUGGGGGCGAAGGAGUUAUUCUUUGUCUGUAUGUCGACGACAUAUUGAUCUUUGGAACCAAACUUGAUUUAAUCAAGGAGGUUAAGGAUUUCUUAUCUCGCUGUUUUGAGAUGAAGGAUCUAGGAGUAGCUGAUGUUAUCUUAAAAAUCAAGCUGUUGAGAGAUGAGAAUGGUGGGAUCACACUGCUUCAGUCUCAUUAUGUGGAAAAGGUCUUGAGUCGUUUUGGGUAUAGGGACUUCACGCCUUCUCCAACUCCAUAUGAUGCUAGUGUGUUGCUUCGAAAGAAUCAACGGAUUGCUAGAGAUCAACUGAGGUAUUCUCAGAUUAUUGGCUCGCUUAUGUAUUUGGCGAGUGCCACGAGGCCUGACAUCUCUUUUGCUGUGAGCAAGCUGAGUCGGUUUGUGUCAAAACCGGGAGAUGAUCAUUGGCAUGCGCUUGAGAGAGUUAUGCGCUAUUUGAAAGGCACCGCAAGCUAUGGGAUUCACUACACCGGGUAUCCAAGGAUACUGGAGGGUUAUAGUGACUCAAAUUGGAUAUCUGAUGCUGAUGAGAUUAAGGCCACAAGUGGUUAUGUUUUUUCACUUGGUGGUGGCGCUGUUUCCUGGAAGCAUGUGAAGAGGAGACUAAAAUCUGUCAGAAAAUUGAGGAACUCCGGAGUUAUUACGUUGGAUUAUAUCCAAACGUCGAAAAACUUGGCAGAUCCCUUCACAAAGGGUCUAUCACGUAAUGUGAUAGAUAACGCAUCGAUGGAGAUGGGUUUGAGACCCACCGCAUGA
rnacentral:rRNA from 1 species